CAGAAUUUCAUUUGGUUCUGCCACAUCUUAAAAUUAUGACCAUCAAAAGUAAACGGUUUCAUCGAAUCCUCCAUAAUAAAAUAAAAUCUGUCCACAAAUUAAUUCUACUGUUAUAUCAAAAAACUAUUUUGAAUUUCAGAAAAAUAACAGUAAGAUAUUUAUUAAUUUGUAGAAAAGAAAUAUUUUAAUUACUAUAAUAAAAGAAACAGAAAGAUUAAAAAUAAAUUUCGCUUCUAGAUUGUUGGAAAAACUUUCUGAUCUUUUAUUACAAUAUUCUUUAAAAACCAAUUCGAAAAUUUAAUUAAAGGUUUAGGAAAAUCCUAAAACGAAAUUAAAUAACAAAUACGGUAAAGAAAAGGUUUAGAUAAGGCCUGUGGAUCAAGGCGUGUAU
rnacentral:lncRNA from 1 species